UACGUAGGGUCCGAGCGUUGUCCGGAAUUACUGGGCGUAAAGAGCUCGUAGGUGGUUUGUCGCGUUGUUCGUGAAAACUCACAGCUCAACUGUGGGCGUGCGGGCGAUACGGGCAGACGUUGAGUACUGCAGGGGAGACUGGAAUUCCUGGUGUAGCGGUGGAAUGCGCAGAUAUCAGGAGGAACACCGGUGGCGAAGGCGGGGUCUCUGGGCAGUAACUGACGUGGAGGAGCGAAAGCGUGGGGAGCGAACAGGA
rnacentral:rRNA from 1 species